rnacentral:rRNA from 1 species
UUGAACGCUGGCGGCAGGCCUAACACAUGCAAGUCGAAUGGUAACAGGAAACAGCUUGCUGUUUCGCUGACGAGUGGCGGACGGGUGAGUAAUGUCUGGGAAACUGCCUGAUGGAGGGGGAUAACUACUGGAAACGGUAGCUAAUACCGCAUAACGUCGCAAGACCAAAGAGGGGGACCUUCGGGCCUCUUGCCAUCAGAUGUGCCCAGAUGGGAUUAGCUAGUAGGUGGGGUAACGGCUCACCUAGGCGACGAUCCCUAGCUGGUCUGAGAGGAUGACCAGCCACACUGGAACUGAGACACGGUCCAGACUCCUACGGGAGGCAGCAGUGGGGAAUAUUGCACAAUAGGCGCAAGCCUGAUGCAGCCAUGCCGCGUGUAUGAAGAAGGCCUUCGGGUUGUAAAGUACUUUCAGCGGGGAGGAAGGGAGUAAAGUUAAUACCUUUGCUCAUUGACGUUACCCGCAGAAGAAGCACCGGCUAACUCCGUG